CCUACGGGAGGCAGCAGUGGGGAAUAUUGGGCAAUGGGCGCAAGCCUGACCCAGCAACGCCGCGUGAAGGAAGAAGGCUUUCUGGUUGUAAACUUCUUUUCUCAGGGACGAAGAACGUGACGGUCCCUUAGGAAUAAGCCACGGCUAACUACGUGCCAGCAGCCGCGGUAAUACGUAGGUGGCAAUCGUUAUCCGGAUUUAUUGGGUGUAAAGGGAGUGUAGGCGGUAGCGCAAGUCAGAGGUGAAAACUCAGGGCUCAACCCUGAGACUGCAUUUGAAACUGUGGUUCUUGAGAGCAGGAGAGGCAAGCGGAAUGUAGUGUGUAGCGGUGAAAUGCGUAGAUAUACGGAGGAACACCAGUGGCGAAGGCGGAUUGCUGGACAGUAACUGACGCUGAGGCGCGAAAGCGUGGGGAGCAAACAGGAUUAGAUACCCGUGUAGUC
rnacentral:rRNA from 1 species